GUGAGUAACGCGUGAGCAACCUGCCUAUGACAGUGGGAUAGCCUCGGGAAACCGGGAUUAAUACCGCAUGAAAUCGUAGAAACACAUGUUUUAACGGUCAAAGAUUUAUCGGUCAUAGAUGGGCUCGCGUCUGAUUAGCUAGUUGGUGAGAUAACAGCCCACCAAGGCGACGAUCAGUAGCCGGUCUGAGAGGAUGAACGGCCACAUUGGAACUGAGACACGGUCCAA
rnacentral:rRNA from 1 species